rnacentral:tRNA from 2 species
GCGGGUGUAGCUCAACGGUAGAGCCAUAGCCUUCCAAGCUAAAGACGAGGGUUCGACUCCCUUCACCCGCU